AUUAGCUAGGCAGAAUAAUGCAUUAGAUUUAGAAUCUAAAUUAGGUUUAGGAAUUACCAGUUGAUA
rnacentral:tRNA from 1 species